UUCUACAUAUUUAUAUGGAUAAUUUUGUAUUUGUAUAUACUAGGGUUUCUCUUGGGAUUUUUUGGGGUUUUAAACCUACAGAAAAUUCCCGGAAAAUAUUUAUUUCUCCAAGAAAUCCUCUAAUAAAUUAUUUCAUAAUUUGGAGACAGCAACAACAGAUAGUUGAAAUUCAAUUACAGGUUCACGGCGGCCGACUACAUCAACCAGUUUAGAUCCGAGUUAUUCUUAUGGGUCCAUGCUCGUUUCUCAAACAACAAUCUGUUUAUCCAACAGGAUAAAGCACUAGCUUUGAGGGACACGCCAAUGUGGCCACCAUACUUACCAAACAUGACCCCUAUGGAUUUUACAUUGUGGGCACAUGUGGAGCCCUGUGGCUAACACCACUCCAAACAAUGAGGCCAUGAAACCCUAGUCAAUUAGAUUUGGAACAGUCUGGAAAAAUAAUUUGUCAGGAGGUCAUGCUCUGCUUUCAUGCCCAGGUUGGAGGACAUUAUUAAUGCUAAUGGAGAACAUCUUGAGCUAUAUUUUUUGACUAACUCCGGGAUUCUGAAUUGGGAAAUAGUUUUGAUACAACCGAUCCAGAUUAUGAUUACCUAUCCAUGACGAUGUCAAAGAAUGUGAAUCCAAGAUAUUAAUUAAAUAUGGGUGAGAUUCAAUCAUCAACUUAUAAAUAUUUCUAUAAUCAACAAAGCAGCUUCCCGUUUUUUGAAAUCAAUCAGAAAACAUAACUAUUAAUUGAUAUUUUGUCAUGUUAUAAUAGUUAUAUGAUUAAUGAAGUUCAAUGAUUUUUAUGAAACUUUCAAAAAAUUUAAGGAAAAAAAUAGAUAUUUUACAACUUUA
rnacentral:lncRNA from 1 species